rnacentral:rRNA from 1 species
AUUGAACGCUGGCGGCAUGCUUUACACGUGCAAGUCGAACGGUAACAGGUUAAGCUGACGAGUGGCGAACGGGUGAGUAAUGUAUCGGAACGUGCCCAGUCGUGGGGGAUAACGUAGCGAAAGCUACGCUAAUACCGCAUACGAUCUGUGGAUGAAAGCGGGGGACCGUAAGGCCUCGCGCGAUUGGAGCGGCCGAUAUCAGAUUAGGUAGUUGGUGGGGUAAAGGCCCACCAAGCCAACGAUCUGUAGCUGGUCUGAGAGGACGACCAGCCACACUGGGACUGAGACACGGCCCAGACUCCUACGGGAGGCAGCAGUGGGGAAUUUUGGACAAUGGGGGCAACCCUGAUCCAGCAAUGCCGCGUGCAGGAAGAAGGCCUUCGGGUUGUAAACUGCUUUUGUACGGAACGAAAAGGCUCUGGUUAAUACCUGGGGUUUAUGACGGUACCGUAAGAAUAAGCACCGGCUAACUACGUGCCAGCCGCCGCGGUAA